CGCGUAGGUGGUUAGAUAAGUCAGAUGUGAAAGCUCCCGGCUUAACCGGGAAACUGCAUUUGAAACUGUUUAGCUUGAGUGCGAGAGAGGGUAGCGGAAUUCCCAGUGUAGCGGUGAAAUGCGUAGAUAUUGGGAAGAACACCAGUAGCGAAGGCGGCUACCUGGCUCGCAACUGACGCUAAUGCGCGAAAGCGUGGGGAGCAAACA
rnacentral:rRNA from 1 species